UACUUAGUGGCAGACGGGUGAGUAACAUGUAGGUAUCUACCCUUUGGCCUGGAAUAACACGAGGAAACUUGUGCUAAUACCGGAUAAGUCUUUACAGAGAAAGCUUUAUGCACCAUUGGAUGAGCCUGCACUAGAUUAGUUUGUUGGUGGGGUAAUGGCCUACCAAGACUGUGAUCUAUAGCUGAUUUGAGAGGAUGAUCAGCCACAUUGGGACUGAGACACGGCCCAAACUCCUACGGGAGGCAGCAGUGGGGAAUCUUGCACAAUGGAGGAGACUCUGAUGCAGCGAUGCCGCGUGAGUGAAGAAGGCCUUUGGGUUGUAAAGCUCUUUCGUCGGGGAAGAAAAUGACUGUACCCGAAUAAGAAGGUCCGGCUAACUUCGUGCCAGCAGCCGCGGUAAUACGAAGGGACCUAGCGUAGUUCGGAAUUACUGGGCUUAAAGAGUUCGUAGGUGGUUGAAAAAGUUGGUGGUGAAAUCCCAGAGCUUAACUCUGGAACUGCCAUCAAAACUUUUCAGCUAGAGUAUGAUA
rnacentral:rRNA from 1 species